UUGACUAUCUGGUUGUAAAUUUUUCGCUGUGUCUGGCAACCGUAUAAUUUGUUUUGGUUUUUCGGGAUCCUUGCAAACGUUUUGCUUAUGAAAAUAUUUUCGGCUCGAUUGUCGAAGUGUUUCGCGUUUGAGGAAUCUUUUGGGCCAUAGACCUGGCCAUAAAUAACAAGUUCGUGAGAAGACUGAAAUUAUUCCAAUCCGCAUUGAAAUGACCAUCGUGUCUAGCAUCUAUGAUAUGCUGAAAACAACGGUCAUGCUGAAGAGAUCAGCAUUUAUCGUCCCUGGACCAUCAAUCUGUACAAUCGAAAAGCUCAUCGACCGGAAUUUCAGGAUGGGUUUUUUUUUACCUGCACACCGUAUUGUGUUCCGGAAUAUCAAUGGCGGAAGUGGACCGAAGAAGCCACUACCAAAGAACUUGUCUUGGUUAUUGAAUAAAUUGAAAAUUUUGAAAUAAGAUGUUGAUUUUUACACAA
rnacentral:lncRNA from 1 species